rnacentral:rRNA from 1 species
CCUACGGGUGGCAGCAGUGAGGAAUAUUGGUCAAUGGACGAGAGUCUGAACCAGCCAAGUAGCGUGAAGGAUGACUGCCCUAUGGGUUGUAAACUUCUUUUAUAUGGGAAUAAAAUGUUCCACGUGUGGGAUUUUGUAUGUACCAUAUGAAUAAGGAUAGGCUAACUCCGUGCCAGCAGCCGCGGUAAUACGGAGGAUCCGAGCGUUAUCCGGAUUUAUUGGGUUUAACGGGAGCGUAGGUGGAUUGUUAAGUCAGUUGUGAAAGUUUGCGGCUCAACCGUAAAAUUGCAGUUGAAACUGGCAGUCUUGAGUACAGUAGAGGUGGGCGGAAUUCGUGGUGUAGCGGUGAAAUGCUUAGAUAUCACGAAGAACUCCGAUUGCGAAGGCAGUUCACUGGACUGCAACUGACACUGAGGCUCGAAAGUGUGGGUAUCAAACAGGAUUAGAUACCCGAGUAGUC